rnacentral:rRNA from 1 species
CCCUUUGAUGUUCUGGGCUGCACGCGCGCUACACGGAUGCGCUCAACGAGUUUACGACCUUGCCUGGAAAGGUUGGGUAAUCUUCUUAAAACGCAUCGUGAUGGGGAUAGAUUAUUGCAACUAUUAAGAUUCAACGAGGAGUUCCUAGUAAGCGCGAGUCAUCAGCUCGCAUUGAUUACGUCCCUGCCCUUUGUACACACCGCCCGUCGCACCUACCGAUUGAAUGGUUCGGUGAAGAUCUCGGACUUCGAUAUUUAUUCUUUAUUGAGUUUAUAUUGUGGGAAGUUAUCUAAACCUCAUCAUUUAGAGGAAGGUGAAGUCGUAACA